ACCCCGGUAGUCCACGCCCUAAACGAUGCGAACUGGAUGUUGGGUACAUUACGGUACUCAGUGUCGAAGCUAACGCGUUAAGUUCGCCGCCUGGGGAGUACGGUCGCAGGACUGAAACUCAAAGGAAUUGACGGGGGCCCGCACAAGCGGUGGAGUAUGUGGUUUAAUUCGAUGCAACGCGAAGAACCUUACCUGGCCUUGACAUCUGUCGAAUCCUGCAGAGAUGCGGGAGUGCCGCAAGGAACGACAAGACAGGUGCUGCAUGGCUGUCGUCAGCUCGUGUCGUGAGAUGUUGGGUUAAGUCCCGCAACGAGCGCAACCCUUGUCCCUAGUUGCCAACACGUAAUGGUGGGAACUCUAGGGAGACUGCCGGUGACAAACCGGAGGAAGGUGGGGAUGACGUCAAGUCCUCAUGGCCCUUACGGCCAGGGCUACACACGUACUACAAUGGUCGGUACAGAGGGUUGCGAAGCCGCGAGGUGGAGCCAAUCCCGAGAAAGCCGAUCCCGAGUCCGGAUUGGAGUCUGCAACUCGACUCC
rnacentral:rRNA from 1 species